rnacentral:lncRNA from 1 species
UCCCCUUUCACGUUGUGGGGCCAGUGUUCUUUUGCUAUUUGCAGUAAACCUUGCCGCUGGUCACUUUGGGUCCACACUGCGUUUAUGAGGUGUAACACUCACUGUGAAGGUCUGCAGCUUCACUCCUGAAGCCAGGGAGAGCACGAACCCACCAUGGGGGAACAAACAACUCCAGACGUGCUGCCUUAAGAGCUGUAACACUCGCCGUAAAGGUUUGCAGGUUCACUCCUGAGCCAGCGAGACCAUGAACCCCCCAGAAGGAAGAAACUCGGAGCACAUCCGAACAUCAGAAGGAGCAAACGCCAGACACGCUGCGUUUAAGAACAGCAACACUCACCACGAGAGUCUGCGGCUUCAUUCUUGAAGUCAGUGAGACCAAGAACCCACCAAUUCCAGACACAAUAUCUUACUAGAGAAGUUUUAAUUUUGCUUUUUUUCAGAUAUCUCAGGGAUUCACUGCUCUGGAAUCAAUGUUUACAUUAAUUUUUUGGCUUAAUAACUCCUGCACCUGUGAGCAAUGAAAAUUUGCACUGCCUGUUGGUACAUGGUUUAUAGGCUUGGGAUUUGGAUUUUUUUUUUAACUGUAGACUUUUAUCUUUCUAUUCAGACCCCAUAAUAGAGAUAAACGUUCUGUGCCUUACCAUUUACUUUUCUCAGCCUGUGGCAAGAAGUUUGAAGUUUGUUGGGACACCUUUUCAUCAAGGAGAACUUGGCAGAAUCUAGUGCUGGUCCUGGAGCUAAGUCUUGAGAAGACCUGGAGGCUUCCACUUCUGCGCUUUUGGAAAUUCUGAGCUUCCGUGUUAGAAGAGUUGCUACCCUUCUGGAGAUACUACAUGGAAAGACCUCAUGAAGAGGCCAUAUGGAAAGGGAGAAGCCUUGUCCAACCAUCUCCACCAAGGUCCCAGGCAUAUGAGAGAGCCAACUUGGACAGUCUGGUCCUGUUGAGCCCCCAGAUGCCCACAGUCUCAGUUGACAACAUGUGGAGCAGAAGAACUGCCCAGAUGAGCCCAGCCAACCCAGUGAAUCAUGAGAAUAAGGAAAUGGUUUUUGCUUAAAGCUUUUGCUUUGAAGUGGUUCCUUAUGCAGCAGUAGAUAUCUGAAACAGGGGGCAUUGAUUAGUGACAUCAAGGCCCUAGGGGAUGGCAGAACUCCCAGAUGGAAGAAAGCUGGAUGUCUGAGUCAUGGCAAGGAGAGCC